CUUCUUUUCUUUUCUUAAUGAGUGUCCUGUUAUUACAACUGUUAAUAACAGUCACUCUCCGCUAUUGGUAAAAACAAAUCCUGCAAGUAAUUCCAUCUUUACUUCCAGCGACUCUCGACAACCCCGCCCUGAAGAAGGCCUUAUUGGACGAUUUCGCUUCAGUCGCGCCGUCGCUGCUCGGCCUGGAAGGAGAGGGAGUGUUUCUACCGCUGGCGAGGUCGGUCUUUGGCGCUUACCUUCCCGGAGUUCAGAUUAACGAGGGCACGGUUCGAGGUCUGGCACAGCUUAUUAGCGACGGGGCAUAUAAUGUACCAAACGCCGAAUUGUUGCGACUCCAUUGCAAGCGCGGGAGAGGAAAAGUAUUUACAUAUCGCUUGCAACAUCGCGGUCUUGUUGGUGCAACCGAUCUCUUCAAUAGCUCCGUUGGAUAUAUAUGGGUCAGUAAUGGCGACGACUUGAAAUACCUGUUCCGUGGAGGUCGUACCCCGAACACGACCUCCAACACAACCUUAAGAACGACCUUCCCAACCCUGGAGGCCAAGGCGGACCAGCGACUAAGUAACAUUAUGGUGCGGCUGUGGACCAACUUCGCCGCGACGGGAUACCCAACGCCCGACCCUUUCUUAGGCUUCAUGUGGGCGCCCGCCUGCCAGCCCACCCUUCCUUACCUCAGCCUCACGCCCGCACCCUUGAUGGUCGCGGAUGGAAACGCUCGGGUAACGUUCAUUUGACUAUUUUUCUUCGUUGUCAAUAUUAUGCUUUUGGAAUCGCGUUUCUUUCUCUUGUUUUAUUUCUCAGUGUUUUGUGUGUGUGUGUGCCUGUGCUUAAAAAUAACUAGUCUUUCCUCCCUUUCUCCCUCCCUCUCACCCGAAAACAGACCUACACCUUCUGGAGGAGUUUGCCGACCCUAAGGAACCAAAUCCUACGUCGGGAGUCCUUCAUCCCCGCUCCCUGGCAGCCGGAGUGGGCGGGGCUGGGCUCCUCCUCCUGCGGGAAAUGUUCCUCGGGUUUAUUCGACUUGC